GGUGGCUCAGUGUUAGAGCGCUUGCCUUGCAUACAUGAGGCCCUGGGUUUGAUUCCCCAGCACCA
rnacentral:tRNA from 1 species